rnacentral:rRNA from 1 species
AUUGAACGCUGGCGGCAGGCUUAACACAUGCAAGUCGAACGAGUGGCGGACGGGUGAGUAAUGCUUGGGAAUCUAGCUUAUGGAGGGGGAUAACUACGGGAAACUGUAGCUAAUACCGCGUACCAUAGGAUGAGCCCAAGUGGGAUUAGGUAGUUGGGGAGGUAAAGGCUCACCAAGCCGACGAUCUCUAGCUGGUCUGAGAGGAUGACAAGCCAAACUGGGACUGAGACACGGCCCAGACGCCGACGGGAGGCAGCAGUGGGGCACAUUGCGCAAUGGGGGUAACCUGAUGCAGGGACGCCGCGUGGGGGAUGAAGGCUUGCGGGUUGUAAACCUCUUUCGCUAUCGAACGGGUAGGUGGAGAAGAAGCGCCGGCUAACUACGUGCCAGCAGCCGCGGUAAUAC